rnacentral:rRNA from 1 species
CGCCGCGUGACUGAUGAAGCUCUGAGGAGUGUAAAGGUCUGUCGCAGGGGAAGAAUAAGUCUGACGAUAAUAUUUUCAGAUGAUGACGGUACCCUGUGAGAAAGCUCCGGCUAACUCCGUG